GAUGAACGCUGGCGGCGUGCUUAACACAUGCAAGUCGAACGUGAGAGGGUAGCAAUAUCCUUGAAAGUGGCGCACGGGUGAGUAAUACGUAGGUAACCUGCCUUGAAGAGGGGGAUAACAACUGGAAACGGUUGCUAACACCGCAUAAUACCGGAUGAGCGGGAGCUUAACUGGUAAAAACUCUGGUGCUUCAAGAGGGGCCUGCGGCCGAUUAGCUAGUUGGCGGGGUAAGAGCCCACCAAGGCGACGAUCGGUAGCUGGUCUGAGAGGACGAUCAGCCACACGGGAACUGAGACACGGUCCCGACUCCUACGGGGGGCAGCAGUGAGGAAUAUUGGGCAAUGGGCGCAAGCCUGACCCAGCAACGCCGCGUGGAGGAAGACGGCCUUCGGGUUGUAAACUCCUUUUUUGGGGGAAGAGGAAGGACGGUACCCCAAGAAUAAGUCACGGCUAACUACGUG
rnacentral:rRNA from 1 species